rnacentral:rRNA from 1 species
AGAGUUUGAUCAUGGCUCAGGACGAACGCUGGCGGCGUGCCUAACGCAUGCAAGUCGAACGGGGUGAGGCCCUUCGGGACCUUUACCUAGUGGCGAACGGGUGAGUAACGCGUGAGGAACCUGCCUUUCAGUGGGGGACAACAGUUGGAAACGACUGCUAAUACCGCAUGAAGCUUUUGGGAGACAUCUCCUGGAAGCCAAAGCUUAAUGUGCUGAAAGAUGGCCUCGCGUCUGAUUAGCUAGUUGGUGGGGUAACGGCCCACCAAGGCGACGAUCAGUAGCCGGUCUGAGAGGAUGAACGGCCACAUUGGGACUGAGAUACGGCCCAGACUCCUACGGGAGGCAGCAGUGGGGAAUAUUGGGCAAUGGGCGAAAGCCUGACCCAGCAACGCCGCGUGAAGGAAGAAGGCCUUCGGGUUGUAAACUUCUUUUACCAGGGACGAAGGACGUGACGGUACCUGGGGAAAAAGCAACGGCUAACUACGUGCCAGCAGCCGCGGUAAUACGUAGGUUGCAAGCGUUGUCCGGAUUUACUGGGUGUAAAGGGCGUGUAGGCGGAGAUGCAAGUUAGGAGUGAAAUCUAUGGGCUCAACCCAUAAACUGCUUCUAAAACUGUAUCCCUUGAGUAUCGGAGAGGCAAGCGGAAUUCCUAGUGUAGCGGUGAAAUGCGUAGAUAUUAGGAGGAACACCAGUGGCGAAGGCGGCUUGCUGGACGACAACUGACGCUGAGGCGCGAAAGCGUGGGGAGCAAACAGGAUUAGAUACCCUGGUAGUCCACGCUGUAAACGAUGAAUACUAGGUGUGGGGGGACUGACCCCCUCCGUGCCGCAGUUAACACAAUAAGUAUUCCACCUGGGGAGUACGACCGCAAGGUUGAAACUCAAAGGAAUUGACGGGGGCCCGCACAAGCAGUGGAUUAUGUGGUUUAAUUCGACGCAACGCGAAGAACCUUACCAGGACUUGACAUCCAACUAACGAAGUAGAGAUACAUCAGGUGCCCUUCGGGGAAAGUUGAGACAGGUGGUGCAUGGUUGUCGUCAGCUCGUGUCGUGAGAUGUUGGGUUAAGUCCCGCAACGAGCGCAACCCCUAUUGUUAGUUGCUACGAAAGAGCACUCUAGCGAGACUGCCGUUGACAAAACGGAGGAAGGCGGGGACGACGUCAAAUCAUCAUGCCCCUUAUGUCCUGGGCUACACACGUAAUACAAUGGUGGCCAACAGAGGGAAGCGAAGCCGUGAGGCAGAGCAAAUCCCUAAAGCCAUCUCAGUUCGGAUUGCAGGCUGCAACUCGCCUGCAUGAAGCUGGAAUUGCUAGUAAUCGCGGAUCAGCAUGCCGCGGUGAAUACGUUCCCGGGCCUUGUACACACCGCCCGUCACACCAUGAGAGUCGGGAACACCCGAAGUCCGUAGUCUAACCGCAAGGGGGGCGCGGCCGAAGGUGGGUCCGGUAAUUGGGGUGAAAUCGUAACAAGGUA